rnacentral:rRNA from 1 species
UACGUAGGGUGCAAGCGUUAAUCGGAAUUACUGGGCGUAAAGCGUGCGCAGGCGGUUAUGUAAGACAGUUGUGAAAUCCCCGGGCUCAACCUGGGAACUGCAUCUGUGACUGCAUAGCUAGAGUACGGUAGAGGGGGAUGGAAUUCCGCGUGUAGCAGGGAAAUGCGAAGAUAUGCGGAGGAACACCGAUGGCGAAGGCAAUCCCCUGGACCUGUACUGACGCUCAUGCACGAAAGCGUGGGGAGCAAACAGGAUUAGUUACCCUGGUAGUCCACGCCCUAAACGAUGUCAACUGGUUGUUGGGUCUUCACUGACUCAGUAACGAAGCUAACGCGUGAAGUUGACCGCCUGGGGAGUACGGCCGCAAGGUUGAA